UUGGAGGGCAAGUCUGGUGCCAGCAGCCGCGGUAAUUCCAGCUCCAAUAGCGUAUAUUAAAGUUGUUGCAGUUAAAAAGCUCGUAGUUGAAUUUCGGGGUCAGUAGGUCGGUCGUGCCACUGGUAUGAACUGGUUUUACUGAUUCCUCCCUCUUGAAGAACUGUAAUGCCAUUAAUUUGGUGUUGCAGGGAAUCAGGACUGUUACUUUGAAAAAAUUAGAGUGUUUAAAGCAGGCUUUAGCUUGAAUACAUUAGCAUGGAAUAAUGAAAUAGGACGUUUGAUCCUAUUUUGUUGGUUUCUAGGAUUGACGUAAUGAUUAAUAGGGAUAGUUGGGGGCAUUAGUAUUCAAUUGUCAGAGGUGAAAUUCUUGGAUUUAUUGAAGACUAACUACUGCGAAAGCAUUUGCCAAGGAUGUUUUCAUUAAUCAAGAACGAAAGUUAGGGGAUCGAAGACGAUCAGAUACCGUCGUAGUCUUAACCAUAAACUAUGCCGACUAGGGAUCGGAUGAUGUUAAUUUUUAAUGUACUCAUUCGGCGCCGUUAC
rnacentral:rRNA from 1 species